ensembl:lncRNA
CUUUAAUUGUUUGUUAGAAUUCGCCCAGUGAAGCCAUUUACUCCUGGGAUUUAUUUGUUGAGAGGUUUUAUGAUUACUGAUUGUAAUGGGAAAAAACGCAGUUUUCCUCUUUCCUAUGCUGGGAAAAAUACCAGCUUUUCCCUACUGUCUUUCUUUCCUGUGAGUCUCCUUUAUGACUCACAGAAAUCAUUUCACUUCUGGUCCCCAAAUGUGUGGAGGUUUCUCCCCACAAGAACAAGCAGUUCUCAGACAGCAGCAAGGUGUCCAAGAAUUCAACUCAGUUCUGACACUAUCUACCCAGGACAGCACCAGAUCACACAGGAUAUGAUAAAGGAUGCAGAUGAACAGCCAGAUGAAGAGAUGCAUGCGGCGAGGUCUGGGAUGAUCCUGAGUGCAGGAGCUUCUGUCCUCAAGGAGUUGGGGUGUGUCACCCCCCAUGUGGUUGUUCACCCACCUGGAAGUUCUCUGAACCCCCUAUUAUUGGGAUUUUAUGGAGGCUUCCUCAUACUAGCCCUGAGCAAACAGCCACCGCCAAUCCUGCUCUGUUUGCUGAGGAAGACUGGCCCUGAGCUAACAUCCAUGCCCAUCUUCCUCUGCUUUAUAUGUGGGACGCCUAUCACAGCAUGGCUUGAUGUGCGGUGCCAUGUCCCCACCUGGGAUCCGAACCAGUGAACCCCGGGCCACUGAGAAGCAGAACGUGGGCACUUAACCACUCUGCCACUGGCCUGCCCCAAUUGUUUUAUAAUCCAUUUUAUGUUAAUAAGAUCAGUAGUAAUAACCCCAUUUUCAUUUCUGAUUUUAGCAAUUUGAGUCUUAUUUUAUUCUAAGUCAUUCUUGCUGAAGACUUGUCAAUUUGAUUUUUUCAAAGAACCAUUUUUUGUUUUCAUUAAUUCUCUUUAUUUCUUUAUUCUCCUUCAUUUAUCUCUGCUAUAAUGUUUACUGUUUCCUUUCUUCUGCUAGUUUUGGAUUUAGUUUGCUCUUUUUUUCUAUUUCCUUGAGGUGUAAUGUUAGGUUAUUGAUUUGAUAUCUUUCUUAAUUUUAAUCAGGCUCUCACAGCUGUAAAUUCCCCUCUGAGCAGUGCUUUCACUGUCUCCCACAAAUUUUGCUAUGCUGUAUUGUUUUUUGUCCUCUUCAAAGUAUUUUCUAUUUUCCCUUGUGAUCACUCCUUUGACCCAUUGUGUGUUUAAGACUGUGUAGUUUAAUUCCAAAAUAUUUGUGAAUUUUCCAGUUUCCAUAUUUUCCUUCCAUUUUGCCUGAAGAAGAUACUUUGUAUUAUUUCAAUCUUUUAAAAUUUAUUUAGACUUGAUUUGUGGCCUAACAUAUGGUCUAUUCUGAAAAUGCACCAUGAGAACCUGUGAAAAAUGUGUAUUCUGUUGUUUUUGGAUUGAGUCUUCUAUAGCUGUCUGCUAGGACUUUGGUAUAUAUGUUUGUUCAAUCUUGUAUUCCCUUGCGAUAAUCUGUCUAGAUUUUCUAUUUUUAUAAGAAUUCUCAUUAUUGUGGAAUGUCUACUCCAUCCGAUUCUGCCAGUUUUUGCUACAUAUGUUUUGGUGCUCUGUAGUGAGAUAUGUAUAUGUGAAUGAUUAUUAUGUUUUCUUAGAUUGCCAUGUUUAUAGAUAUAUAAAAUCUUUCUUUAUGUCUUAUAACAAUUUUUGACUUAGAGUCUAUUUUGUCUAAUAUUAGGAUAGCCACUCCAGCUUUCUGUAGAUAAUUAUUUGUAUGGAAUAUCUUUUUUCCAUUCUUUCAUUUUCAAUGUUCUUGUGUCUUUGGACCUAAAGUGAGCCUCUUGUAGACAGCAUGUAGUUAGAUCAUGUUUUCUAAUCUGUUGUGCCA